AUGCUUGCCACACUUCUCUUGUAAAAGGACACUCUCGGAAAACAUGAAGACUCUCUUCUACUCCAAAAUAACAUCGUGGACAGCGGGCAGUUGAACUAACCCUCCUCAACCUGAGAUUACCAAAGUAGUCAUUAGCUGUAGAAGCAUCUUGUAGUAGUUUAUACGCACUACGUACUGAAAACUCACCAGAUAGUUCUCCACUCCACACCUGAAUAUCCUCAUGUUCGGUCUCUGCCAGAGGAAUUUGUAGAAUCUUCCGAGCAGUAUCUUCUUGAAAGCCACCUUGUCAAUCCCCUGAAUCCAGUUGUCUUCCCAGAUAGAAAUGCUACUCCCUUUACCAACUCUCCAACCCAAUCCUCUUUGGAGAAGUCCUUUUGCCGCCCAGAUGCUCUUCCAGGUAAAUGAAGUGAUGAGGAAGGGUUCGUCGAGGUUGUUGAAGACAUUGACGACAACAUUGUUAUUGGUGGUUGAGUUGAUGUUAGGUCCAGAAAAUUCGCCGUUAAUAAGAAUACCUUGUUGAGGAACACCCAGAGGAGAAAUGGUAUCAUAAGUGACAUUCCAAGUGAAAAAUAUAGUCGGAUCGCCGCCUUCGACCACAAAAACCGAACCUGUCAUGAGACAUAAGAACAAGGUUAACAUCAAUACAGCCAUUGCUUGUUCCCUGUUGUAUUUUUGUUUUAUUUUUUAUUUUUUAUAAAAAAAUUAGGAUGAAUAAUUGGGUUUUUA